rnacentral:lncRNA from 1 species
GAAAUUUGCAGCCUGAUAUUUGCAGGCCCAGGAGGUUCAGGCAGUUUGGUAAAGGGUUACCAGGAAACCAAAGAGAAUGGCACAACCUGUUUGCUGAUUAAGGAGGCAAGUUCAGAGUGUCAUGUGAAGCGGACUACAGCCCAAGUUGGGUGUGCCAACCAUUUAUUCCUGGGAUGUAACUGGCAGCUGAGGAAGAUCACUUUGGCAAGCCUGUGCCAAGGGGUCAUAUAAUUACACAAGGAGAAACCUUACUCCAAGACAAAGUUCAGGAAGAGUUAAAAGGAAUACCUCAAUCAAGCAGAGGUCAGCAAAUGUUUUCUGUAAAGGACGAAAUAAAUACUUUAGGGUUUGUAGCCACAUAAGGUCUGUC